rnacentral:tRNA from 1 species
UCCCUGGUGGCUCAGACGGUAAAGCAUCUGCCUGCAAUGCAGGAGACCCAGGUUCAAUCCCUGGGUUGGAAA